AUUGGGACUGAGAUACGGCCCAGACUUCUACGGGAGGCAGCAGUUAAGAAUAUUCCGCAAUGGACGAAAGUCUGACGGAGCGACGCCGCGUGGAUGAAGAAUGCCGAAAGGUUGUAAAAUCCUUUUAAGCCUGAGGAAUAAGCACAGUAGGGAAUGAUUGUGCGGUGACAGUAGGGCUUGAAUAAGCACCGGCUAAUUACGUGCCAGCAGCCGCGGUAACACGUAAGGUGCGAGCGUUGUUCGGAAUUAUUGGGCGUAAAGGGCAUGCAGGCGGGUCGCGAAGCUUGAUGAGAAAUACCGGGGCUCAACUCCGGAGCUGUAUUGAGAACUGGCGAGCUAGAGUUGCCGAAGGGUAUCCGGAAUUCCGCGUGAAGGGGUGAAAUCUGUAGAUAUGCGGAAGAACACCGAUGGCGAAGGCAGGAUACCGGCGGACGACUGACGCUGAGGUGCGAAGGUGCGGGGAGCAAACAGGAUUAGAUACCCUGGUAGUCCGCACAGUCAACGAUGUACACUGGGCGUGUGCGCAAGAGCGUGCGUGCCGAAGCAAACGCGAUAAGUGUACCGCCUGGGGAGUAUGCCCGCAAGGGUGAAACUCAAAGGAAUUGACGGGGGCCCGCACAAGCGGUGGAGCAUGUGGUUUAAUUCGAUGGUACGCGAGGAACCUUACCUGGGUUUGACAUACACAGCAAUCAUAUAGAGAUAUGUGAGCGUAGCAAUACGGCUGUGAACAGGUGCUGCAUGGCUGUCGUCAGCUCGUGCCGUGAGGUGUCGGGUUAAGUCCCGCAACGAGCGCAACCCCUACUGCCAGUUACUAACAGGUA
rnacentral:rRNA from 1 species